CACAUAGACACAGAGAGAGAACGGGAAAGGAAGGAAGCCGCAUCACGGGGGCGGUCACAUCCAAGGUUUCCGGGGUGGAAGUCGCCGGCGACGAGAUGCUCGUCGACGCCCGCGGCGAGAUGCUCGGCGGCGCCCCUCUAGAGUCCUCGCGCCCCGCUGAUGAGUGUCUGAUGGAUGCCCGCAAGAAGAUUGAACACGAGAUCGAAAGUAAAGCCAAGGCGUCCUUGAAAGAAGGGUUAGGUCAAGAGCUUAAAACUUUUGUGGAGAUGGAGUAUAUGGUGUGAAUAUAGAUUCUGGGAUGGAGUUUGUGGAUAUGACGAUUUUUUUGGGGCAUGUUUUCCGUUGCUUUAGUCGUACUUGGUUGUCACUGAUGUAUUGUUCAAUUAUUUUUUGGCAAUGCCUGUUUGAAUUUUUUUCUGAGGCAUUUGGCAUACUGAGGUAGUUGAUUUUUUGUUUUGAGACAAUGUGUGUGUUCUACACCAAGCUGGGCCAGUGUUGUGUUAUACAUAGUUCUGUUUCUAGGCAAUUCUAGCCAGACUCCAUUCCCUCACACAAAUCUGAGCUGAGCUAGUACUUGCAACGGAGGGACACGUGGGUGGGCGGCAGCGGCCAAUGUGUGGGUAUGCGUGCGUGCAUGCUUCGCGUGGCGCGACUAGCAUUGUGGUUGGGAUCGGAUGUCCACACCGCGAACCAGGCUGUGACUUUGACCACCUGCUAGUUGUCCUUCUUCUUUUUCCUCACACACGAAAAAAGAAACCUGCUACUUUUUAUUAAGUAUUGUUUUUGCCUAACUGCAUCUCACUCAGCAACACCUUUCUCAAGUCUGCACUACUAACCGAAUCAAUCAUAAUCGUUGUGUUUUUCACUUUCCCUUAUUUGAAUUUAGACUCCAAGAUCAUAAUCCUUGUCUCUGAUGCAUAACUUUUUUGAAUGAUUUUGGUGCAGUAUUUUUUUCUUUAGCUAAC
rnacentral:rRNA from 1 species